rnacentral:rRNA from 1 species
GACGAACGCUGGCGGCAUGCCUAAUACAUGCAAGUCGAGCGAACAUUUAUUGAAGCUUUCUUCUAUAAAUGUUCGCGGCGGGUGGGUGUGUAACACGUGUGCAACCUGCCUUUCAGAUGGGGAUAACUCCGGGAAACCUGGGCUUAUUCCGGCUAAUCAGUUUGUCCGCAUGGCCAAACUCUAUCAGACGUCUUCCGCUUUCAUUGCCGGAUGUGCGCGCGGCGCAUUAGCUAGUUGGUGGGCUAACGGCCCACCAAGGCGACGAUGCGUAGCCGACCUGAGAGGGUGAUCGGCCACACUGGAACUGAGACACGGCCCAGACUCCUACGGGAGGCAGCAGUAGGGAAUCUUCCACAAUGGGCGGAAGUCUGAUGGAGCAAUGCCGCGUGGGCGAAGAAGGUUUUCGGAUCGUAAAGCUCUGUUGUGGGGGAAGAAAAGGUGCGGGAGUAACUGCCCGUACCUUGACGGUACCUAAUGAAAAAGCAACGGCUAACUACGUG